UAGGGAAUCUUCCGCAAUGGACGCAAGUCUGACGGAGCAACGCCGCGUGAGUGAUGAAGGUUUUCGGAUCGUAAAACUCUGUUAUUAGGGAAGAACAAAUGCGUAAGUAACUGUGCGCAUCUUGACGGUACCUAAUCAGAAAGCCACGGCUAACUACGUGCCAGCAGCCGCGGUAAUACGUAGGUGGCAAGCGUUAUCCGGAAUUAUUGGGCGUAAAGCGCGCGUAGGCGGUUUCUUAAGUCUGAUGUGAAAGCCCACGGCUCAACCGUGGAGGGUCAUUGGAAACUGGGAAACUUGAGUACAGAAGAGGAAAGUGGAAUUCCAUGUGUAGCGGUGAAAUGCGCAGAGAUAUGGAGGAACACCAGUGGCGAAGGCGACUUUCUGGUCUGUAACUGACGCUGAUGUGCGAAAGCGUGGGGAUCAAACA
rnacentral:rRNA from 1 species